rfam:Metschnikowia bicuspidata var. bicuspidata NRRL YB-4993 METBIscaffold_5, whole genome shotgun sequence.
GUUACAGUGGCCGAGUGGUUAAGGCGACACCCUGCUAUCAAGUGGUUCAGGUGUUGGGCAUUGCCUGCGCAGGUUCGAAUCCUGUCUGUGACG